rnacentral:rRNA from 1 species
ACCCGCUGAACUUAAGCAUAUCAAUAAGCGGAGGAAAAGAAACCAACAGGGAUUGCCCUAGUAACGGCGAGUGAAGCGGCAAGAGCUCAAAUUUGAAAUCUGGCCCUUUCAGGGUCCGAGUUGUAAUUUGUAGAGGGCGCUUUGGCGUCGGCUACGGCCUAAGUUCCUUGGAACAGGACGUCACAGAGGGUGAGAACCCCGUACGUGGCCGCUAGCCUUCGCCGUGUAAAGCCCCUUCGACGAGUCGAGUUGUUUGGGAAUGCAGCUCUAAAUGGGAGGUAAAUUUCUUCUAAAGCUAAAUACUGGCCAGAGACCGAUAGCGCACAAGUAGAGUGAUCGAAAGAUGAAAAGCACUUUGGAAAGAGAGUCAAAAAGCACGUGAAAUUGUUGAAAGGGAAGCGCUUGCAGCCAGACUUGCCUGUAGUUGCUCAUCCGAGCUCCCGCUCGGUGCACUCUUCUGCGGGCAGGCCAGCAUCAGUCCGGGCGGUCGGAUAAAGGCCCUGGGAAUGUAGCUCCCCUCGGGGAGUGUUAUAGCCCGGGGCGCCAUGCGACCAGCCUGGACUGAGGUCCGCGCAUCUGCUAGGAUGCUGGCGUAAUGGCUGUAAGCGGCCCGUCUUGAAACACGG